rnacentral:rRNA from 1 species
CCUACGGGAGGCAGCAGUAGGGAAUAUUCGGCAAUGGGGGGAACCCUGACCGAGCAACGCCGCGUGAAGGAAGAAGUUAUUCGGAAUGUAAAGCUCUUUUAACAGGGAAGAAAGAGAAAUUAGACGGUACCUGAAGAAUAAGCCCCGGCUAAAUACGUACCAGCAGCCGCGGUCAUACGUAGGGAGCGUGCGUUAUAGGGAUUUAUUGGGCGUAAAGGGUGCGUAGAUGGGCUAGUAAGGCUUUUGUAAAAAUGCUGGGCUAAACCCAGGAGGGCAACCGAUACUGGAAAGCUAGAGUAUGACAGAGGCAAGUGGAACUACAGGUGUAGCGGUGAAAGGCGUAGAUAUAUGGAAGAACACCAGUGGCGAAGGCGGCUUGCUGGCUCGAUACUGACGUUGAGGCACGAAAGCGUGGGGAUCAAACAGGAUUAGAUACCCGAGUAGUC